rnacentral:piRNA from 1 species
UGAUGAUUUAGGAGUUUGAGGAACUGA